rnacentral:piRNA from 1 species
UGAAUGGUACCAAAAUGUUCU